AUCAAAUCUCAGGAAAUAGCUACCCACUUGAACAAGAGAGGAUGAAGUAAAUAAAACCAAAAUGAUCUAUUUGAAGGUGGAGCGGGAGUAAGACCACUAGAAAGCAGCAUGCUGCCAGACCACCACAGGACCCUAGAGAUAUUACAGUCUGCUUAUGAACCAGAUAUUGAAUUUGAAUUGUGUUGGGCUGUCCGUCAGAAAAGUUCCAAAGACUAUCCAUCAACCAAUUACAAACUACCUUUGAGGGGCCAGGAGCUGCUCUAUGCUGCUAUGCCCAUCAAUUGAGCUGUAGAAAAAAACUCACCUCCAGCCUCACCUUUUGCCUGCUCACCAACAGUUGUCAAUAGGGAGAACAGAAUUAGAAACAUGUAUGGAGGCAGCACAUGGAGACUUGCAAGAUGAUGUGAAGUCCAGACUGACAGGCGGGCUUGAUACGGAUGUCUCCGAAUGGAGAAAGACCUGGCACUCGGCAGUAACAUUUUACAAGACAACUUUUACCAUUUAAUUCAAUAAAAAAAUAAAGGAUCAGACUAGAUGUGGGGGGAGAAACCCUGUGUUUUCUGCACCAGGAUCCGGGAACUGCUGUUGUGAACAGGACACCACACAGGAAUUAUUAUAUAUUAUAAUAUUAUGUGAAGUGUUGUUUAUUCUACAUGGACCUGUGACUACAUCUGAAAGUUAGCAAAACACUUAGUUCAGAAUAUAUACAUAAAUUUAGCAAUUACAUUAAUCUCAUGUUACUCUUCAGGCUGCUGAUCUAUUCAAAGCUUCUCUAUAUCUGCCUGUAGUUAUUGAGCUCAACUCUGCAGGAGGUUUGUUUGUUGUAACUGAGUGGGGGGAAACAGUUGUGGGCAAGGUUCUGACAGAUGGGUGUGUUUUGGUGGUGGCAAGGACAAACAAACACCCGCAUCAAACCACACCCCCAAGCCAACUCAGGUUUGGCUUCUGUCAUGGCCACCAGCAUUUCUUGAGGAGCAAGCCAAAAAACAAGGCCAAAUCAGCAGGUGCAAUUCUCCUUUAAAAUCAUCACACAAUCUCAGUGCAUACAGUUGAUUUUAUUAAAACACUAUGUAUAAAAAAAUACAUGUAAAAAAUGUCUACCAAUCGAUUGUCA